GGGAAAAUAGUUCAGUUGGUAGAGCAGCGGUUUCCAAAACCGAAGGUCAGGGGUUCAAGUCCCUUUUUUCCUG
rnacentral:tRNA from 1 species